AGCACUUACAUUUAUCACCCAGGCUACAAGAAAAACUAACAGACCUGCCCCAAUCCAGGACAAACCCCAAUACAGACAGACCAGCCCCAAUCAGAGCAGACCAGACAGACCAGCUCCAAUCCAGGACAACAUUAGUCAGCACAUCCACAACAAACUGUUCACAUCCAGCCCAGUCCAUGAGCACAGCUUUGUCCCUGCUUACUAGUACAGACAGGGUAAUACACUUCAGCAAGCAACAGCUUGAGGCAUGGACACAGCAGUACUCCCCUUGGCUAUACUUACAUGGAAAUUAUGUAGGAUGCACAUUCUGCAAAUAUGCCAAGUGCCUUUUUGGAGUCCAAAAGGGAGUACAGGUGGCAGAGGAGUGGGCUUCUGGAGAGGUCACAGCAAAAGAUGUCAGGGCCAUGAAAAAGAAAAUCUACAAACACAGAGACAGCUUAACUCACAAGGCAUCAACAGAUAUUCAACAGCAGAAAGAGAAAGAGGUGUUGCCCACCUUGACAGAAACUUUGAAUGCUAAAGUUCUGUUGGAGACAGUGCACUCAUUUAGAAAAGCAUAUUUUGUUGCAAAGGAGAAGUUAGCCUUCUCAAAAAUGUAUGGAUUGGUUGAGUUACAAGAAAUGAAUGGAGUAAAAAACGGCUCUUGUCACAAAUCUGAUCACUCUUGCAUUAAUAUAAUAACACACAUUGCCAAUAAAAUGUGGAAAAAAAUUGUCUCAACAAUUAAAAGUGCUGGUUCUUGGAUCUGUCUUACAGUAGAUGAAAGCAAUGCAUUUGGGAGAAGCUACCUCAUCCUAUACCUCAGAGGAGAUGUGACAGGAGAAGGUGAGACAGAAAACAUUUUUUUUUGGAUUUGAUUGAGCUGGAGGAAGGAACAACUGCUGAUGCCAUAUACAAAGCUCUCAAAAAGAGUCUCCUGGAAGCUGACCUGGAUGAUGCAUUCCUCAAGUCUCAUCUGAUCUGCAUAACAACAGAUGGGGCAUCUGUGAUGACUGGAAGACAGAGUGGUCUUAUCACAAGGCUGAAAAAAGACUAUCCUUUGCUGGAGAGUAUCCACUGUCUUGCUCACAGGCUUGAGUUAUCAGUACGUGAUGCACUAAAGUCAGUCACAGGUUGCAAUCACUUUGAGAUAUUUAUUUUAAAGCUUUAUACACUGUACCAUCAAUCCCCAAAGAAUGCCAGACAACUUUCAGAGGCAGCUUCUCAAGUUAACAUCUGCCUACUUAAGAUUGGUCACAUUUUUACCAUCCGCUGGGUAGCAAGUAGUUUUGUGACUUUACAAGCUGUUUGGAGAGACUUCCCUGCUCUGGUUGCACAAAUGAAAAAAGGAGCUGAAGAUGGAUCUCGCUCUGAUAUAGAAAGAAAAAAAUUCAGUGGCCUUCUGAAUCGCCUCACAUGCACUGGCUUUGUUAAUGACCUGGCAAACAUUAAAGAUGUGCUACGUGAACUUCACAGUCUUGUCCCUAAAACUUCAGAAAAGAAGCACUUCUUUUAUGGAGGCCACACGAGAAAUAAAGAUGACAAUUGAGGUGUUGAAGGCUUUCAAGAUCACCCCAGGGAAGUCAAUGGAGAAAGCAGUGGAAGCUGUUAAAGUAGGAGAAUUCAAACAAGUGCCCUUACAUUCAAACAAGGAAAAUGUAAAUAGAUUCCUAUUCCUCCAAGCCAUCAUCAACAGUCUCUCUUCACGAAUGCCUGACACAAAUCUUACAAAGAUUAUAACACCACUGGAUCCCCUAAACUGGCCAAAAUCCAGGGAGUCUCUUGUUCUCUUCGGGGAGAAAGAGAUCCACGACCUGGCAAAGAUGCUUGAAGUACCAAGUAGGGAGGCAGUUGAGGACUUCAGAAAUUGGAAGCUCAACAAUGAUCAGAAUGGGAAGGUCCUCAAAAAGGGUUUCUCGACAAACGAUUGAUCUGAGAGUUUAAGAACGUUUUCUGAGAGUCAUUUUUACGAUCUUUCGUUAUUGAUUCACGUGUGUUUCCCAGAAAUGCACUUAACACAAUCUCAGUAUCUGUGCUUUAAGAGCUGCUUAGAGUCGCUGUCCGUUUGUCAAGUGCUGAAAUCUCAUCUUAUAGAGUGACUCGUGAUUGUAGCACACGCUCGUUUACUGAAAUGUUCAUCUAAUGCUGUGUUCAGACUCUGUCAGCAGAUUGUCAUUUGACUGACAGCUUCUGAUCAAUGUGGAAGCAGCCAAAUAUCUCCAAAUGAAAGAAAACUCGGGUUUAUCUUUGCAACAAUACCCUUCACAAGGUGUUCAGAUGAAGAAAAAAAGAGGAUAAAACUCCAGAAGAAGAACAUAGAUUCAGUUCACAUUAAGAGGAGCAUCCAGCAGUUCCAGCAGGACAUACAGAAGAUAAAAAAAAACAAUUGAUCUGUGAUACCAUACUCUCACACACCAUGGACCAGUUCUCCUUCACAAACACCUUGUUAGUGUCACUGUGCUUCAAGCAGACAGGUUUGAACAGGACACAAUGGUGUUUCCUGAAGAUGCACUGAGCAGGACUUUGAAGGUCUAUCCAGAGCUCAGUGAGAGUAAGCUGAAGACAGAGCUUAGUCUCAUCUACUGCAAGGAAGAGUUCAGAAGCUCUUGUGCUGCUGUGGACCUUCUCCAGCUGUUUAUGGAGAACAAUCUUGAACAAGAUCCUCAUCAGCACACCCAUGACCACAGCAGAAGUGAUCUGAGAGCUGCUUCUCAAGCUUGAAAAGAAUGAAGACUUCUCUGAGAAACAGCAGGACCCAGAACAGACUGAAUGCAUUGUUCAUGCUGUAGAUGGAGAAGAGACUGGGAUUGAGAUGAUGAUUUCAACCAGAAAGAGAACCAGGGAGAAAUCUGACAGCCAGAAAGAAAGGAGAAAAAGUGCUACUGGCCAGUGAUUGGGCAACUUCAUUGUGUGUGUGUGUGUGUGCGUGUGUGUGUGUGUGUGUGUGGUACAUUUAAAGUGUGGACUUUAACCUUAAUAUUUUCAAUAUUUUAUCUAGCAGUAAUGAUACAUAAUCACCUGAUAAAUGGCUAUUUACAGUCCUGCAUUACUAACAGUUUAGUUCUUCAGUUUGUUUGCGCACACCCAAAAGUUUUUUUUUGAUAUAAACGAAAAUGAUGGUGUAUAAAAUUUAUUUUUAUAAUAAUUUAUAAUUAUAUAAAAUGUUUUGGGUUUUGUUUACUCUUAGAAUAGGACACACUGGACUGAAUCAGACACUGUUCAAAACAGACGAACAUCAUCAGGUUGAGUCAGUGUUACGUGUGUUAUUGAAGAGGAGGAAAUAUGAGGAGGAAAGAAGGGAAAUGAUUCGAAUGAUAAAGACAGACAUUGUAAAUGUUAAUGUUCAGCUUUUAGAAGGAAAUACUUGUAAUGUGUUCAAACAUCUCAUGGUUUACCUAAAAAAUACAGGAUUUAUGGAAAGAAUAUGAUUAAUUUCUAAAUGUCCUAGUUUGUCACAUACUGCUCCACACCCCAGUCUCGUAUGUGCU